rnacentral:misc_RNA from 1 species
UGGUUCUGGCAUCGAUGAAGAACGCAGCGAAAUGCGAUAAGUAAUGUGAAUUGCAGAAUUCAGUGAAUCAUCGAAUCUUUGAACGCACAUUGCGCCCUUUGGCAUUCCGAAGGGCAUGCCCGUUCGAGCGUCAUUAAAACCCUCAAGCCUGGCUUGGUAUUGGGUGUCGGGCGACGACCCGCGCCUCUAUUCUGUCGGCUGGACUGUUAGAAUCUCAGCGUUGUGCAAUCAAUUCGCUAAGGACGAUAACAGGCCGUGCCGUUAAACCCAUCAAAGGUUGACCUCGGAUCGGGUAGGGAUACCCGCUGA